GGAGAGGUGGCCGAGUGGUUGAAGGCGCACGCUUGGAAAGCGUGUUUACGUUAACGCGUAACGAGGGUUCGAAUCCCUCCUUCUCCG
rnacentral:tRNA from 1 species